AACACAUUUCUAAAAAGAGACAGAAGAUAUCUUUCGAGGUUAUGACAGACUUCACGGGUUGGACUUCUGUCCAAGUUUGCCAGUGGUUGAAAGAUAUUGACUUGGGGGAAUUCUGUGAAAGGAUGGCGAUGAUAAAAAUCUACCAGAGAAAUUUUGUGUCUAACCACAGCACAGAGGAGAUUAUCUCUGAGUUUCCAUGUUUCAGACUGGCCAAAAUGCUCCUUUGGGAUCUGAGAGACCGUACCAACGUUGAUGUGGACCAACAGAUUCUCUCUCAGCC